rnacentral:misc_RNA from 1 species
GAUGAAGAACGUAGCGAAACGCGAUAAGUAAUGUGAAUUGCAGAAUCCAGUGAAUCAUCGAAUCUUUGAACGCACAUUGCGCCCGCCAGCAUUCUGGCGGGCAUGCCUGUUCGAGCGUCAUUACAACCCUCGACUUCCCUAGGGAAGUCGGCGUUGGGGACCGGCAGCACACCGCCGGCCCUGAAAUGGAGUGGCGGCCCGUCCGCGGCGACCUCUGCGUAGUAAACCAACUCGCACCGGAACCCCGACGUGGCCACGCCGUAAAACACCCAACUUCUAAACGUUGACCUCGAAUCAGGUAGGACUACCCGCUGAACUUAAGCAUAUCAAUAAGCGGAGGA